rnacentral:lncRNA from 1 species
CGCAGCAAUGGCGCCCUGCUUCCCUUGCGGGCCCAGGCUUCCUCCGGGGUCCCCUCGGCUGUGGCCUUUGGCUCCCCAGCCCCUCAGACUGUCCCCUCACAGCCUACCGCAGCCCUCUCCCCGGCACCGGCCUCCAGAGCCUGCGUCUCAGCACCCAGCCCCCGCCCGAGCAUCUCCGGCCGCGGCGGUGGUGCAGGUGGUAGAUGGUCUGUGCGGCUCCAGCGCUGCCUGGUUCUCCUCCGACCAGCUGCUGUGCUUUUCUCCACGACGUUGAGGUCCCUCCGUCUCCGCUGAUGUCCCGUCGGUCAGGUGGCCUCCCAGAAUAUCUACCUGAAAUCUACCUAAAUCCUCCUGAAAAUGGAUAUCUUCCCAUUGUGAUUGGGACCUCAGCCAUCAGUGUUCUCCCUCUCUUCCUCCUCUUCCUCCUCCUCUGCCAUUGCUGGUGUCGAGCCAAACACAGGGCCACGGAUGAUGAGAAGACAAUCAAUCUAAGAGGAGUGAGAAGGAGGGGCAACCGGGGUAGGGAAAGAUGUGUUCAGGAGAAGAUAGACGGCCUCCCGGAAGGAGCAGAGACGUGGCACACACCUCACUGGGUGGUGUCUCAGUGGAUAUCGCCUCUGAGGGGGACAGACAGAUGGACAUGGAGGCCCUCCCAGAGGAAGACCCACAGGACGUGAUCUCUGUUCAGCAACACUGAGAUUCCCUGAUGGGGAGUGUGGAUUCAGAGUUCUCCUGCACCCUUGAGGAAUCCUUGUGAUAGCCCUGUGUGUAUAUCACCCUCCCCUGGUCUUGAGUGCAGAGCCAGAACUGGCCAUGUGGACUCCAGCGCUUAAGGGCCCCUUAAGGAAGAUGCGGCGUCCCACUCGUGUCCCCCACAGCAGCAGCAUCUUGGAGCUCCCCAAAGACUCAAGAAUAGAGAAGCCUUGUCACCUGUCAAGAAAUUCUGGGAUGCAUCGCAUCCCUCAACCGAUUCCUGGUUCCUUCUGUUUUUAUCCCCUCAUUUGCUUAUUUAACAGAUAUUCGCAGAAGUUGACUCUUCCUUUGCACCUGUGCUGAGGAGGGACAGAUCAGUAGGACACAGCUCCUGGUCUUAAGGAGUGCCUGGCCUCCUGAGAGAGGCAAACCUUAUGAUCGCUUGGACCCUUAGAAAGCAAAGAGGGGGUGAGCUACUGGAGCAGGGGAAGGAUGAUGUGGGCGACACAGGAAUACUCAUCCGGGUGCAUUUAAGGAGGACCCACAGGUACCCAACGCAAGGAGAAGUCAAGAAGACAUAGGAGUCAAACUGGGCGGGAGGGAGUUCCUGGUGGCAUUUUGCUCCAAUGCUCUAGGUUUUGUGUGAGCUGAAGCCUUCAGAGCAGCAAAAGGCGAACAAGAAAGAUUCUUUGUAAAGGAACCAAAUUGCAACUAUUUGACCGGAAGAAGGAUUUCUCUUGGGGAGGGGAAUGGUGCAGAGGGUGUUUGGGGGGGGUAUGGUUUCCCUCUAGUUUUGGUGAAUUUCACUUUUUAGUUAUGCAAUGAAAAGAAAUAGAAUACAAUAUAACGAGAUGGGAGUGGCAGGAGAGGAAUUGGAGUUGGUAUUAAAGUAGAUGCGAAUGAUUACAUUUGAGAUGGAUGAGCAGUGAGGUCCUACAGUACAGCACAGGGGACUCUGUCCAGUCUCUUGGGAGAGACUAUGAUGGAAGAUAAUAGGAGAAAAAGAAUUUGUGUGACUGGGGCACUCUGCUGCACAGCAGAAAUUGGCACAACACUGUAAUAAAAAACCAAAAAAAAUACAAAAAAAUUCAGUUCAGUUUUGGCACCAGGACGUAGAGAAGAAAGUUAAUGGCAGGGCCAGUGAAAUACAGCACAGUGGUUUGGAGUGGAGAGUAGGAGUAAGAGAGGGAAAUCGAGCAUGCGUGUUGAUUGAUGGAAAGAAAUAUGGGGAGCGCAUAAUGUGGAUGAUAUUGGGGAGUGACCAUCAGUGGGACAGGGUAGCAUUGAGAGCCCUGACUCGGGAAUAGAUGGGUUAACCUGGGUUCAGAUUUCUCCUUCUGUACCCACUUGCUGCACGGUCACGCACACACUUCAAAAUGAUUCUCUGAGCCAGAAGGACACUUGUCAUUGAUGGAGGAGGAAAUCCAAGCUCAUGCGAGCACGGGCUAAGAUGCAAUCUUUUCGGAAUUAGAGAAAUAAAGAUUCCAACAACGACAUGCCGUUGCUUCCCUUCCAUCUGCUAUGAUGGAAUUGCGGCCACCUCCAAACUCCUAUGUCAAAUGUCGCAACCCCCAGGACCUCAGAAUGGGGCCUUCUUUGGAAAUGAGGUCAUCGCAAGUGUGCUUACCCAGGAUGAAGACAUACUGGAGCAGGACGGCUUCUCACCCAGCAUGACUUGUGUCCUUAUUUAAAAACAAGGAAACGAUGGAGUUCCUGUUGUGGUGCAGCGGAAAUGAAUCUGACCGGAACCAUGAGGUUGCAGGUUCCAUCACUGUGUCCUCGCUCCGUGGGUUAAGGAUCUGGUGUUGCCGUGAGCCGUGGUGCAGGUCGGAGACGUGGCUUGGAUCCCGCGUUGCCGUGGCUAUGGCGUAGGCUGGCGGGGGCAGCUCUGAUUCUACCCCUAGCCUAGGAACCUCCAUAUGCCGCGGGGGAGGCCCUAAAAAGAAAAAAAAAAAA